UUGCCAACAUCGACCAUGGACACCUCCGCGGCCGAUCUCGAGGCGCGUCAGCUAGGCAUCCUCCGCCGCAUCGAGGAGCUCGAGCUCGCCGCCGAGCAGCGCCGCCUCGGGGCGCUCUCCAUCUCCGAUGCCGAGGCGGAGGUGGAGCCGGGGGGCACCGAGGUGCGGCUCUCGGCCAUCCUGGCCGCGCGCGGCGUGCGCGACUUCGCCUUCCGGCGCGUGCCCGCCGACUACUACGACCGCUCCCUCGAGGAGCGCCGCGGAAUCCUCGCCGCCGACUCGGUCGCCCAGCUCUGCAAGAGUAUCGUCAUGGUGAAUACCAAAGCUGCUGCUGAUGUAUCUGACUGCAGUAACCCGAAGAAUUCUAAAUAUUAUGUUGUCAUUGUUCAGUAUAUGGCACGGCUUAAUGCGGAAACCAUCAAGAACUUCCUGUAUGCCCUAAAUGAGAAUCAGAUACCUAAAAAGAGAUUUAACAUGAGGCUCGCACCAGAAGAGGAGUCAUGCAUGCUUACUGGGUUUGUGCACAAUGCCGUGACAUGCAUUGGAAUGAACACAGAUAUACCGGUUAUCAUAGAUGAAGCCAUCACCAAGUUGGAUGAGGAUUUCUUCUGGCUAGGUGGUGGAGAAGUUGACCUCAAGCUUGGGAUGCGGACCUCACAGUUCCUAAAAGCCUUCAAUCCAUUUGUGGUGAACUGCAGUUAAUGAGUAAGAACCACGCGUUCCAUGUAGGUUUACCCAGCCUUGAUCAACGCACUGCCAGGGAGGUACACUAGGCUUUUGCUUGGAUCUGAGCUGACUGUUGGUAAGAUUGAUGUAUCAGAGGGGACAUUCUUGGGAAGAUUGAUAUAAUUGGAGAACAAGUGGGCUUAUACUAUUACUAGGCCCUUUGUAGUUUGGGCCUGAGAGUUGCAAACCAGAGUAACCUCAUAUGAAAUGUGUUAACCAGACAUCUGGCUACAAGACCGAAGUUUGGUUCUGCCUUAUUGUACUCAACAUUUUUUCCCCUUGGAACAUGUUAUCUUAUUUUACAAGUUCAAAUCCUUCAUUUUUAGAUAACACUGGAGUUAACUUCAAAACGGGUGUCCUGAUUCAA